AGCCCUUCAACUUUGAUCCAAAAAUUAAAAUUUUCUAGUAUUCCUACUAAGCUCAAGACCCUCUUCAACGUGGUAUAAUUAUUUUAGCAAGAAAAUCACUUUGGUGGCAAGUGAAGGAUUUGAAGAAAAAGAUAUUGGAGAGCCCGAGACUUGAUUCGGGAUUUGACUAGCGAGCGAUCGAGGUACAGGCGUUCGUUCAGGUGACCCGCCAGUGUAGGGUACUUAUUCUGUUGUUUGGAGUACUCCUUUUGAUUCGGAGCUCAUAUUUUUGGUACAUACCUUCUGUUAUACAUGUUCUGUAUAUAUGAUUAUUUGGGUACGACGGGGCCCUAUCCCGUCAUAUGUUUCUGUUAUGGUUUGUAGAGGCCUGUAGACAUAUAUGUGGGUCAUGGGUCAUGUUUGUUCGUUUAUGUUUGUGAUCUGUGCCUUAAUGCGGUCCCGUUUGCUAUUAUGGCCAAAACGACCCAUAUGUUUGUAUAUCUGGGCGAUGUGUAUUACGCCAGCCUACCGGUUUUGGUAUGACAUUUCUG